CACCAGCUCCACGGUGGGUUUGCCUCAUUCAUAUUUGCUUACAGCUAGCAAGCUAGCAAUAGCUCAAUGAAUAACGUUAACCUCUUGGGACAAUUCUUGCAGUCCAGCUAGAGGAUGCGACGCCCACAGAUUCUUUCACCCUGCGGUAACGCGGCGAGUAGAUGUCCACACAGUCACUUCCGUUUGACUGCUAGUGUCUUUUGAAAUAAUAUAGGUAAACUUACACUGUCACAAAACUGUCGACGGCCGCCACCAUGUUUGCCUAUUGCAGUUGUGAGAAGUGGCAGCGCGCAUGCGCGAAGACGUGUUGACGACGGUUGGAUUGAAGGCUUCUGCCGCUCGUUUUGGACAAUCUGGUACGUUUAUUUGACUCCCUGAGUCACGUUAAGACACUCCUGGUGUGUUAGAAGUACGCCCCUACUUAUUUCACAUUUUUGAGAAUUCAUCCAAUCUGGUUCAAGAACCAUCGUUUCAAAUUUAGCGGACUGGAUACGUCUGCAUUCGCUUGACCAAUCACAGAACCAGCUUUGGCCCGCCCAGGCAAACCCGGACCCCUAAAUGUACCUGAAACAUUUCAUUUCAUUCACUCUCUAUUUGCGCUAGCAUAGUAGGUGGCGCUAAUGCACCUUUCAGUUGGUUGCCACCUGCCAUUUAAAAGACAAAAGAAGAAGGAGUCACUCAGGUUGAAGAAGCGCCCACUUGCUGCUUCCCCAAACGCUGACGCAUCCCAGCUACCGAAACGCGAGGCAGUUGCUUCUCAAACACUGCGGUCAAGUGAGCCGUCGUUCGUUCUUUGGUGCAUAGUUCCAGGCCCAGACCACUUUCUCCUAUUUCUGCUAGAUGUGUACUAUCAACACACAAAGAUCUGUGUAUUUUUACUGUAUAGUUUAGGAUUUAUUAGUAUUCAAAACUACCAUGUCAUACUGUAACUCUAUCGGCCCUAUAGUCGACUUUGAUGAUUAAUAACUUGACUUUGGUGCAUAGUUCCAGGCCCAGACCAAUUUCCCCCUUGUUCUACUAGUGAUGUACUAUCACCCCACAAAUAUUCAUGUAUUUUUACUGUAUAGUUUAGGAUUUAGCAGUACUUGAAAGUGCUAUGUCAUACUGUGAUACAGUCAACUUUGAUGAUUAAUAACUAGACUUUGGUGCAUAGUUCCAGGCUCAGACCACUUUCCCCUUGUUCUACUAGUGAUGUACUAUCACCCCACAAGAUUUGUGCACUUUUACUGUAUAGUUUAGGAUUUAUUAGUAUUCAAAACUUCCAGGUCAUACUGUAAUACUCCAUGGGCCUUAUAUUCAACUAUGAUGAUGAAUAACUUGACUUUAGUGCAUAAUGCCAGGCCCAGAUUAUGUGACUUUUCAUAUAAAAAACUGUGAGUGAGGCUAAGCACACACACAUUAAAUCCUUUUAGUACCAUCUGUUAGGACUCCAAAGUGUGACUUUUAAUAUUGAAACUAAAUGUUUAAUGUUUAAUAUAAAGUCAUGGAACAGUCAAAAACUGAAUAUUUAUGUGUGAAACAUACAUUAACGUGGUGGAGGAGUUUGUGUGCCUGAAUAACCCCGGGAGCUAUGUUGUCGGGGACUAAAUGCCCCUGGUAGGGUCUCCCAAGGCAAACAGGUCCUGGGCUGGGCUGAACUGGAGGAAGUGUCCGGAGAGAGGCAAGUUUGGAGUUUGCUUAGACUGUUGCCCCCGCGACCCGCCCCCAGAAAAAGCGGUUGAAAAUGGAUGGAUACUGAAAUAGUUAUUUGUUCUCAUUAAACCAUUUCCCAUGUCUGGAGUUUGUUUUAUCAAAGUUAUUGCCGUCUCUGUUCUUACACCUUGUAAUAUCUAGUUUUGAACACUCAAAUGUAAAUACAAAAUGUAUAUAACCAAAUAUUCAGGAUUAGAUUUAAUGCAAUUAUUUUCUCUUCACAAUACAGACUUAAAACAAUAAAAAAGAAAGUUACACACUAUACUGUUUGUAGUGCAGUACUUAUAUUACCAUAUCUGUAUUAUUGUAUUUAUGUUUACUCUGUAUGCAGUUGGUCAACUUAUUUUGACAUUUUAGUCUGUUGACGGGUAAUUUGUAAUUCUCGCGUUAUGGUGCAGAUUAUGUGGAAAAUGUGAUGGAGCCCUUCUUCAAUAAAGUCCUGCUGGACUCAGGUUGUUCUAUGGAGGACCUUGUAAACAUCCCUGUCCUCCAUCUGUACAGCAGCUGCACUGCUUCCGAUGUCUUCCAAAACGUGUUGAAGACAAAAAAGCUCCUCACAUCUCCCCAGCCAACUGACCAUGACUGUACCUGUUCCACUCCAAAUACUAUGCUUUCAACAUAACUCUGAAUCCUACCCCUUCAUUUUGUGGUCUGCAAAUUGAACUGUGAAGGUAACACCAGCAUUAUAGUGCUGGUGCAUUGGUUGACAAUAAAGUUGGCUUUGACUAUU